rnacentral:rRNA from 1 species
UGCAAGUCGAACGAUGAAAUCACUUCGGUGGUGGAUUAGUGGCGAACGGGUGAGUAACACGUGGGCAAUCUGCCCUUCACUCUGGGACAAGCCCUGGAAACGGGGUCUAAUACCGGAUACCACUUUGUCCCGCAUGGGACGGGGUUGAAAGCUCCGGCGGUGAAGGAUGAGCCCGCGGCCUAUCAGCUUGUUGGUGGGGUAAUGGCCUACCAAGGCGACGACGGGUAGCCGGCCUGAGAGGGCGACCGGCCACACUGGGACUGAGACACGGCCCAGACUCCUACGGGAGGCAGCAGUGGGGAAUAUUGCACAAUGGGCGAAAGCCUGAUGCAGCGACGCCGCGUGAGGGAUGACGGCCUUCGGGUUGUAAACCUCUUUCAGCAGGGAAGAAGCGCAAGUGACGGUACCUGCAGAAGAAGCGCCGGCUAACUACGUGCCAGCAGCCGCGGUAAUACGUAGGGCGCAAGCGUUGUCCGGAAUUAUUGGGCGUAAAGAGCUCGUAGGCGGCUUGUCACGUCGGAUGUGAAAGCCCGGGGCUUAACCCCGGGUCUGCAUUCGAUACGGGCUAGCUAGAGUGUGGUAGGGGAGAUCGGAAUUCCUGGUGUAGCGGUGAAAUGCGCAGAUAUCAGGAGGAACACCGGUGGCGAAGGCGGAUCUCUGGGCCAUUACUGACGCUGAGGAGCGAAAGCGUGGGGAGCGAACAGGAUUAGAUACCCUGGUAGUCCACGCCGUAAACGUUGGGAACUAGGUGUUGGCGACAUUCCACG